GGUUGCGCUCCCCCCUUGCACACGCACUGCCAUUACAAGUUCAAGUGUUCGUGUGGACAAUUGUUGGGCACCUGCUGCGUGCAGGAGGCGCGUGCAGGCACGUCCUGGCGUCUGCGGGAGGUCGGGAGAUCUGCUGUGCGGAGGGCGCUCAGGCUGGACCCUGCGCGUUCUCCAGCGCGAGGGAAAGCCGUUUUCAGGGACACAACGUGUACACACAACGCGCGCGCGCACACACACAAAUGGGUGCAUGUAAAACUGGCGAAAUCUGAGUCAGGUAAUGAAAAUCCUUGUGUCCCAGUUGCAGGCUUGACUUCUCAGCCUCUCCUGUUUGAACCACGCUAUGAGAACCAGUUUGUCUUAACAACAGCCUCCCGGAAAGACGUGCAUGCACUCCUUGCUUGGUAAAUAACAGUCACAGCCAGAGCGGCCCUGACGCUACCCUGACACUGUUGAAAUGUGCCUAACGAGCCAGCUGAAUCACCCUUCUCCAACGUAAUCAGAUGGCAGUAAUUUUCUGGAACGCACCAUUCCAAGGGAGCAGUGUGAUCUCCAGGGCUUUGUGUUGCCUAAUUAAAAGGCACUGUAGCAAGAAGGAGAUUGCAGUUACAUUUUUGAAUCACAUUGUUCUGAUUUUGGAGUUUGAGGAAAUGAGGAGUUUUUUUACUGGACUGUGAGGAGGUUGGGAAGGGUGGCCGGCCCAGGGAGUCUGUGGGAGCAUUUGCUGGUCACGUGGAGAAGGCUUUGUGCCAUUGUUUUUGCUUGUCAGAAAAAGCCAAGGUCACGGCACUGGCUGGGAGUCCUCUUUCCUUCUAGGUGAUGGGCCAGGAAGGCCUGGUCACGGGCUGAGACGGGCACUGGCUGAGAAAUGUCAGGGGGAGCUGAUCCACCUUCAAAAUUGUUCGGUAGCACCACCUUAUUGGACAUUUAUUAGGGGCUGCUAAUAAUGGGCAUAAUAAUAAAAAUAAUUAACAUUUAUAAA